rnacentral:rRNA from 1 species
CGACCCUAGGUCAAGCAGGAUUACCCACUGAGUUUGAGCAUAUAAAUAAGUGGAGAAAAAGAAACUUACAAGGAUUCCCUUAGUAACGACGAGUGAACCAUGAAAAGCCCAGCCUUAGAAUCGGGAGACUCCAUCAUCCAAAUUAAAAUCUGGAGAACCGUCCUCAGAGGUGGACCGGGCCCAAGUCCCCCUGAAGGAGGAGCCAGAGAGGGUGAGCGCCCCAUUGCUCCCAGACCCUAUUGCACCAUGAGGCACUAUCUACGAGUUGGGUUGUUUGGGAAUGCAUCCUAAAUCGGGUGGUGAAUUCUAUCCAAGGCUAAAUACGGGCAAGAGAUUGAUAGCGACAACUACCAUGAGGGAAAGAUAAAAAGGACUUCGAAAGGAGAGUCAAAGAGUGCUUGAAAUUCUCAAGAGGGAAGCGUAUUGGGGUCGUCGAUGCAUCCCAGUUGGAUGAGGAACGGUGACAAGCCACUCUGCUGAUCGACUCGGGGUGUGGACCAACAUGGAUUAGGGAAGCGGCCAAAGCCUGGGCUCUCGAUAUGCUCGUGGAUUGUCGUCUCCUCAAUUGUGGCAGGCAGCGCGCCCCUCUGGCGUGCUUCAGCAUCUGCGCACUCCGGACGCUGGCCUGUAGGCUCUCCAUUCUACCUGUCUUGAAAUACGGACCAAAAAGUCUAAUAUGUAUACGAGUCAACGGGCGAGUAAUCCCGCAAUGCGUAAGGAAGCUAAUUGAUGGGAUCCCCCUGAUGGGUGCACCGCCUACCAACCUUGAUCUUUUGAGAAGAGUUCGAGUGUGAGCAUACCUGUCGGGACUCAAAAGAUGGUGAACUAUUGCAGAGCGGGACAAAGAUAGAGGAAACUCUGGUUGAGGCCCGCAGUGAUACUAACGUGCAAAUCAUUCAUUUGACUUGGGUAUAGAGGCAAAAGAUUAAUUAAACCAUCUAGUAGAUGGUUCCCUCCGAAGUUUCCCUCAAGAUAGCUGAAGCUCAUGCGCUAGUUCUAUCGGGUAAAGCCAAUUAUUAGAGGCCUCGGAGGUGCAAUUCCCUCGACCUAUUCUCAAACUUUAAAUAAGUAGGAUGGUGCGUCUUCUUUGUUGAGCCACGCUACAAAAUCAAGAGCUCCAAGUAGGCUAUUUUUGGUAAGCAGAACUGGCGAUGCUGGGUAAAAUAGAAGUUGGGUUGUCGUACAACAGCGUGCUAACCUAGAUCCCACAAAAGGUGUUGGUCGAUUAAGAUAGCAGGAUGGUGGUCAUGGAAGUCAAAAUCUGCUAAGUAGUGUGUAACAACUCAUCUGCUGAAUAAACUAGCCCCAAAAAUGGAUGGCAUUUUAGUGCAGGACCUACACCCUGCCGUCGGGGCAAGUGCCAGGCCCUGAUAAGUAAGAGGGCAUGGCGGUCACUGCAAAAACAUUGGGCCAAGCCUGGGCAGAGCCACUAUCAGCGCAGAUCUUAGCAGUAGUAGCAAAUAUUAAAAUAAGAACUUUAAAGGCCAAAGAGGGGAAAGGUUCCAUGUGAACGACACUUGCACAUAGGUUAGUCGAUCCUAAGGGUUGGGGGAACCCCGACAGAUAGCGUAUUUCGCGCGUACUUCAAACAGGAAUGGGGUUAAAAUUUUUGAACCAGGACAUGGCGGUUAACAGCAUUAUUAGAAAGUCUAAAGAUAUUGGUGGGAGCUUUAGGAAAAGUUAUCUUUUAUGUUUAAAACCCUUCCCACCCUUGAAUCAGCUCAGCUGGAGGUAGGGUCCAGCGGCUGAAGAGUACCGCACGUCAUGUGGUGUCUGGUGUGCUCUCGGUAGCCCUUGAAAAUCUGGAGGACGGAAUGUUAUCCACGCCCGAUCGUAUGGGACAUAGUAGGCAAGGGAAAUCGGAAAAAUAGAUUCAUAACUUUGGGAAAAGGAUUGGCUCCGAGGGCUAGGCAAAACCCGCCGGCUAUCAGUGGACCACUCGAGCUGCUCCCAAGGCGAGAGCAGGAUCCGUGGACCAGCUGGGGCACAGACUGGGAACGGUUCCUUCGGUGGCCUUCCCUAUGUGUAGAUCAACAAACUCAGAACUGGUACGGAUAAGGGAAUCCGACUAUUUAAUCAAAACAUAGAAUUUUGAUGGUCCCAACGGAUGUUCAUGCAAUUUGAUUUCCGCCUAGUGCUCUAAAUGUCAAAGUGAAUAAAUUUAACAAAGCGCGGGUAAACGGCGGGAGUAACUAUGACUCUCUUAAUAUAGCCAAAUGCCUCAUCAUCUAAUUAGUGAUGCGCAUGAGUGGAUUAAUGAGAUUUCCAUUGUCCUUGUCUACUAUCCAACGAAACAACAACCAAGGGAAUUGGCUUGGCUGAAUCAGCAGGGAAAAAAGACCCUGUUGAGCUUGACUCUAGUCCUACUUUUUGAAAUGACUUGAGAGGUGUAGUAUAAGUGGGACCCAAAAGGCAAAAGUGAAAUACCACUACUUUUAAUGUUAUUUUACUUAUUUCGUGAAUUAGAAGAGGGGCACUACUCAUCUUUUUGGACCCAAGGCUCGCUCUGUAGGCUAAUCCGAGCAGAAUACAUUGUUAGUUAGGGAGUUUGGCUAGGGAAGCACAUCUAUUAAAAGAUAACGCAGGUGUCCUAAGAUGAACUCAAUGAGAACAGAAAUCUUGUGUGGAAAAGAAGGGUAAAAGCUUGUUUUAUUCUAAUUUCCAGUACGAAUACAAACCAUGAAAGCGUGGACUAACUAUUAUUUAGAUCUUUGGAAUUCGAAGAUAGAGGUGUCAGAAAAGUUACCACAGGGAUAACUAGCUUGUGGUAGCCAAGAGUUCGUAGCGACGUUGCUUUUUUAUACUUCUAUGUCGGGUCUUCCUAUCAUUGUAAAGCUGAAUUCACCAAGUAUUGGAUUUUUCACCCACCAAUAGGGAACAUGAGUUUGGUUUAGACCAUCGUGAGAUAGUUUAGUUUUACCAUACUGAUAACAGUGCCGCAGUAUUAAUUCAACCAAGUAUGAGAGGAACCAUUGAUUCACAUAAUUGGUUAUUGCGCUUAGUUUAAAAGCCAGUGGUGUGAAGCUACUGUCUGUUGGAUUAUAAAUGAAUGCCUAUAAGUAAGUUUCCAGGCUAUAAUUGAUGCAUGCGCCGGUGGUCUGCUUGGCAACCCGCAGUAGGGGCCACGGCCCCCAAGAGCAUCGUUGGCUAAGCCAAAACGACUGAAGGUUUGUGGUGGCCGCCUUGAAGUACAAUCUCCAUCAAGCUGCAGGUAAAAUCCUUUGUAGAUGACUUAAAUACACGAUGGGGUAUUGUAAGUGGUGGAGUGGCCUUGCUGCCACGAUCCACUAAGAUUCAACCCUUUGUCGCUCUAAUUUGU